UACGAGGGGGGGCUAGCGUUGUUCGGAAUCACUGGGCGUAAAGCGCACGUAGGCGGAUCGUUAAGUCGAGGGUGAAAUCCCAGGGCUCAACCUGGGAAUUGCAUUCGAGACUGAAUAGCUAGGGUACGGUAGAGGGAAGCGGAAUUUCCGGUGUAGCGGUGAAAUGCGUAGAUAUCGGAAGGAACAUCAGUGGCGAAAAGCGGGCU
rnacentral:rRNA from 1 species